rnacentral:piRNA from 1 species
UCACUAAUUUUUUCGAUAACU